GACGAACGCUGGCGGCGUGCUUAACACAUGCAAGUCGUACGGUAAGGCCCUUUCGGGGGUCCACGAGUGGCGAACGGGUGAGUAACACGUGAGUAACCUGCCCACAACUUUGGGAUAACGCUAGGAAACUGGUGCUAAUACUGGAUAUGUGCUCCUGCUGCAUGGUGGGGGUUGGAAAGCUCCGGCGGUUGUGGAUGGACUCGCGGCCUAUCAGCUUGUUGGUGGGGUAGUGGCCUACCAAGGCGGCGACGGGUAGCCGGCCUGAGGGGGUGACCGGCCACAUUGGGACUGAGAUACGGCCCAGACUCCUACGGGAGGCAGCAGUGGGGAAUAUUGCACAAUGGGCGCAAGCCUGAUGCAGCAACGCCGCGUGCGGGAUAACGGCCUUCGGGUUGUAAACCGCUUUCAGCAGGGACGAAGCUUUUUGUGACGGUACCUGCAGAAGAAGCACCGGCUAACUACGUG
rnacentral:rRNA from 1 species